AAAUAUCUGUUUUCUUAACCGUGCAAAGAAAAUAAUUUUAUUCAACUAAAUAUACUGAAAGCCCCCAAAGAAUAUUUCCCUCCCGAGCUUGAGCACCAAGCAUCUUCUUCGCCCCAGUUCAGAAUCCAGCCUUUGUGUUCGGAUUGAGCCAUAUUCUCCGUUGUUUAUUGAAGGGAAUCGCGUGCAUUAAUGAACACUCAGAUAAUGAAAGUGGAGAUUAUGGCUCGGACAGGAAAUGGUGGCCUCCUAGAGGCUAGACCGGAAACGUGCCAUGAAAAUUAAGAUUCGGUGAAUACAAAAAUCCAACGUCCAUACUUCUUUUAAAAAAGUUGUGGUCAGAAGGUUUUUUCUUUGAAGACGCACUGGAUUCAUCGCGAAAAAAAUGAGAGAAAUAUCCUUUCUCUCUCCUGGAAAUUUUACGGAAUGAGAAGAUAUUAUGCCGAUUGGUCUCUUUCUGAAAUUGUUCUGGCUCGCAGGAGCCCCUGCUACUUUGACAGCUGUCGCUUUGGCUGCACAGGAGACGAAUCGCCCUCCUUUUGGUGCCAGAAGAAGCAGGAAAUUAGCCAGGUUGCAAGU